GUGAGGUUAGCAAGAAAGAAGAAAAGGCAUAUUCAGCGUUGCUCAUGGGAAUAUCCUCUCGCGCGCGGGAAUAUUUUGCCGGGAAGAGCGAAUGUACCAUGGAUGCCUAGUUUUCUCUCCUGCGGUCCUGCCUUGCCCCGCGCGGGCACGUACGGCCACCAUUCCCCUCCUCAGUUACCCUCUUCCUCCUCGCUCGGUGCCUGGGUGUGCAAAUGUGCAAUACACCUUCCUAUCGAUCCCAAGCUUCAUCUCAUGUGGCCACCGGCCAAUCGAAGCCGCCGGUCGCCGACGACGCGUCCGUCGCCGGGGAGAGCAAGCAACCAUCCGUCGUGAUUACCAGGUUGCUGCAGGUUGUUGGAGCUUCUGAGUUCUGACCGGGCGGGGCAAGGCUAGCUCCUAGAAAGUUUCAGAAAAAGGGAAGCGAAAUGGUAGCAGAACAAGGCAACGAUACAGUUCUGAUCGUGAUCCGUGUUGGCUGUUGCGCCUCGCCUAGCAGACGGAAACGAAGUCACACGUAGCACAGGUUUCAGCCUCGAGAUUCCAGAUAUUAUGUUUUUUUUUUCCAGAAAAUAUGGGAGUUUAUUUUUUUUCUAUUUAUUGACGAGCCGUGAUCUCUGCACCGGGCAGAGCCAAAGAUAAGGAGUUUCAGAGGUUCAGAUAAGGCUGCAGAGUCGUCGCGUGCCUGUAAUAAACGCAUGUAAACGGGGAUGGGCAAACUUGCACGGCGACCGCGUUGUGCUAGCGAUAAGUGCCGUUCGGAAUUAGAAGGUGGUUACUGAAUACUGAUGCGAGGCAAGCUGCAUUUUGCACGUAA